AUUGAACGCUGGCGGAAUGCUUUACACAUGCAAGUCGAACGGCAGCACGGACUUCGGUCUGGUGGCGAGUGGCGAACGGGUGAGUAAUGUAUCGGAACGUGCCCAGUCGUGGGGGAUAACGUAGUGAAAAUUACGCUAAUACCGCAUACGAUCUAUGGAUGAAAGCGGGGGAUCGCAAGACCUCGCGCGAUUGGAGCGGCCGAUACCGGAUUAGGUAGUUGGUGGGGUAAAGGCCCACCAAGCCAACGAUCUGUAGCUGGUCUGAGAGGACGACCAGCCACACUGGAACUGAGACACGGUCCAGACUCCUACGGGAGGCAGCAGUGGGGAAUUUUGGACAAUGGGCGAAAGCCUGAUCCAGCCAUUCCGCGUGCAGGAUGAAGGCCCUCGGGUUGUAAACUGCUUUUGUACAGAACGAAAAGGUUUCUACUAAUACUAGGAGCUCAUGACGGUACUGUAAGAAUAAGCACCGGCUAACUACGUGCCAGCAGCCGCAGUAA
rnacentral:rRNA from 1 species